rnacentral:rRNA from 1 species
CAAUUUAAACAACGAAGAGUUUGAUCCUGGCUCAGGAUGAACGCUAGCGACAGGCUUAACACAUGCAAGUCGAGGGGCAGCGGGGGUAGCGAUACCCGCCGGCGACCGGCGCACGGGUGAGUAACGCGUAUGCAACUUGCCUAUCAGAGGGGGAUAACCCGGCGAAAGUCGGACUAAUACCGCAUGAAGCAGGGGCCCCGCAUGGGGGUAUUUGCUAAAGAUUCAUCGCUGAUAGAUAGGCAUGCGUUCCAUUAGGCAGUUGGCGGGGUAACGGCCCACCAAACCGACGAUGGAUAGGGGUUCUGAGAGGAAGGUCCCCCACAUUGGUACUGAGACACGGACCAAACUCCUACGGGAGGCAGCAGUGAGGAAUAUUGGUCAAUGGCCGAGAGGCUGAACCAGCCAAGUCGCGUGAGGGAUGAAGGUUCUAUGGAUCGUAAACCUCUUUUAUAAGGGAAUAAAGUGCGGGACGUGUCCCGUUUUGUAUGUACCUUAUGAAUAAGGAUCGGCUAACUCCGUGCCAGCAGCCGCGGUAAUACGGAGGAUCCGAGCGUUAUCCGGAUUUAUUGGGUUUAAAGGGUGCGUAGGCGGCCUUUUAAGUCAGCGGUGAAAGUCUGUGGCUCAACCAUAGAAUUGCCGUUGAAACUGGGGGGCUUGAGUAUGUUUGAGGCAGGCGGAAUGCGUGGUGUAGCGGUGAAAUGCUUAGAUAUCACGCAGAACCCCGAUUGCGAAGGCAGCCUGCCAAGCCAUGACUGACGCUGAUGCACGAAAGCGUGGGGAUCAAACAGGAUUAGAUACCCUGGUAGUCCACGCAGUAAACGAUGAUCACUAGCUGUUUGCGAUACAUUGUAAGCGGCACAGCGAAAGCGUUAAGUGAUCCACCUGGGGAGUACGCCGGCAACGGUGAAACUCAAAGGAAUUGACGGGGGCCCGCACAAGCGGAGGAACAUGUGGUUUAAUUCGAUGAUACGCGAGGAACCUUACCCGGGUUUGAACGCAUUCGGACCGAGGUGGAAACACCUUUUCUAGCAAUAGCCGUUUGCGAGGUGCUGCAUGGUUGUCGUCAGCUCGUGCCGUGAGGUGUCGGCUUAAGUGCCAUAACGAGCGCAACCCUUGCCACUAGUUACUAACAGGUAAAGCUGAGGACUCUGGUGGGACUGCCAGCGUAAGCUGCGAGGAAGGCGGGGAUGACGUCAAAUCAGCACGGCCCUUACAUCCGGGGCGACACACGUGUUACAAUGGCGUGGACAAAGGGAAGCCACCUGGCGACAGGGAGCGAAUCCCCAAACCACGUCUCAGUUCGGAUCGGAGUCUGCAACCCGACUCCGUGAAGCUGGAUUCGCUAGUAAUCGCGCAUCAGCCAUGGCGCGGUGAAUACGUUCCCGGGCCUUGUACACACCGCCCGUCAAGCCAUGGGAGCCGGGGGUACCUGAAGUCCGUAACCGCGAGGAUCGGCCUAGGGUAAAACUGGUGACUGGGGCUAAGUCGUAACAAGGUAGCCGUACCGGAAGGUGCGGCUGGAACACCUCCUUUCU